rnacentral:rRNA from 1 species
AGCUCCAAUAGCGUAUAUCAAAAUUGUUGCGGUUAAAAAGCUCGUAGUUGGAUUUCAGACUGGAUUUCUCGGUGGGCCCAUUAGGGCUUUUCUGGGUUAAUCCGUCUCGUAAGCCGGUCCGUUGCAUUGAUCGUUCUUAAUUGAGCGUCGUUGCGCACGGCAUGUUUACUUUGAAAAAAUUAGAGUGCUCAAAGCAGACCAUUUAUGAGUCUGAAUAGUGUUGCAUGGAAUAAUGAAAUAUGACGCUGUUACUAUUUUGUUGAUUUUCAGUAAUUAGGCAGCGUAAUGAUUAACAGGAGUAGAACGGGGGCAGAACUAUGGUCGCGCUAGAGGUGAAAUUCAUGGAUCGUGGCCAGAGUAACUACUGCGAAAGCAUUUGCCAAGGAUGCUUUCAUUAAUC